rnacentral:lncRNA from 1 species
CGCCACUGUACACUGCCGUUAGUUUUAACCCCAAGUUAGCCCCAUUUUGUUAGCUAGAUCAAAGGUGUUCCACUUUAGCAAACUUAAAGAACUAAAGAUACGUAAAGGUAUAUAUAUAUAAGACAGAAGUAGACCUAUCCCAUGUAUAUAAGCACAAUAUUGGUUAAAAACUCGAAGUAAUUACAUGUAAAUCUCAAUUAUAAAUAUUACUAGGUAACAUGAUAGAAAGGGCUGAAAGCAAAGCAGUAAAUACACCUAACACCAACCAUACAAACUUUGCUAUUAUUUGAAACUUAGUCAAUUUACAAUUAUCUAGGAUUUGCUUGGCAGUAGAAACAUAUGAGAAGAAAAGGAAUAAACCUAGAAUUAAACUGAAUUCGUCACAACACUAAAACUGACCAAAAGAGAAUAACCGACAGCUAAACAACAGUCCUCGAGCAGCAACAGAUUCGACUUCAAAUGACUUCCAUUUUUAACCCAAAAAUUCAGAAUUACAACGAAAAGAUGAGUGUUAGAGGUCUCAAAGACAAAAACUCUAAACAACAAUCGAUAAGAAAAAUGAAAUAACAGCACCCUCAGUGAUUUUGUGUUGUUCCAAUAUCAGAAAUAUAAGAACGAAAUAAGCUGAAAAUAAUCUCUUCAGUUCCUUUUCGAAAAAUCUCUCCAACUCUCAAAAUUUUCUCCUUAUCCUCAAAAUCGGAACCGGCCCUAUUUGAAAACGAAUCCGUGAUGAAUGUGGUGCUUGGAUUGAACAAAAUCAAUCUAAUGCCUCACAUACACCCAGCGAAUCUACUCCAGAACCUUCCAAUUGUGAGAUAUAUCCAAUUCGAGCGAGUGAGAGGAGAUGGAAAUCUCGCGUCAGAAACUGUUAGAACGGUAAGAGGAGAGAUGGGGGAAAGCGUGGGUUAGGCAUUUGGGAUUCACUCGCUUGAAUUUUGGCAAUUUUUGGGACGAAUUUGGUGUUUGGAGAAGAGGAACAGGGGCUGCGUCGUUUGAGCUCGAGAGAUUAGGGUUUUGGGUGUUUUGUGUUAUAAUUUGGGACGGUCGG